AUACGGAGGAUCCGAGCGUUAUCCGGAUUUAUUGGGUUUAAAGGGUGCGCAGGCGGCCAUUUAAGUCAGCGGUUAAAUCGUGGGGCUCAACCCCAUUCUGCCGUUGAUACUGGGUGGCUUGAUUGCGGCCGAGGUUGGCGGAAUUCGUUGUGUAGCGGUGAAAUGCAUAGAUAUGAUGAAGAACACCGAUUGCGUAGGCAGCUGACCAGACCGCAAAUGACGCUCAUGCACGAAAGUGCGGGGAUCGAACAGGAUUAGAUACCCUGGUAGUCCGCACAGUAAACGAUGAAUACUUGUUUUCGGCGAUAUAAUGUCGGAGGCAAAGCGAAAGCGAUAAGUAUUCCACCUGGGGAGUACGCCGGCAACGGUGAAACUCAAAGGAAUUGACGGGG
rnacentral:rRNA from 1 species